rfam:Dickeya dadantii 3937, complete genome.
AACCCCCAGCUAGGCUGGGGGUUCCGUAAAGCUUCCAGCUUUGGGGCGGAUAUAAAAACCCCUUUUGAUUUGUUAAAACACCUUGCGGUCUGGCAACUGCAAUGGUCAAACAAGAAAUCAAAAG